UACGUAGGGUGCGAGCGUUAAUCGGAAUUACUGGGCGUAAAGCGUGCGCAGGCGGUUCUCCAAGUCCGUUGUGAAAUCCCCGGGCUCAACCCGGGAACUGCGUCCGAUACUGGCAGGCUUGAAUCCGGGAGAGGGAUGUGGAAUUCCAGGUGUAGCGGUGAAAUGCGUAGAUAUCAGGAGGAAUACCGAUGGCGAAGGCAGGUCUCUGGGCUGACACUGACGCUCAUGCACGAAAGCGUGGGGAGCAAACAGG
rnacentral:rRNA from 1 species